rfam:Dipodomys ordii contig_51231, whole genome shotgun sequence.
GGUGGCUCAGUGGUAGAGCGCUUGCCUUGCACGCCAGAGGCCCUGGGUUCGAUUCCUCAGCACCA